AACAUCGCGCACCUGCGGGAACCUGCGGAAGGAUCAUUACACAAUAAACAUAUGUAGGCUGCACCGCCAACAGGCGGCAAGGCUGGAGUAUUUUAUUACCCUUGUCUUUUGCGCACUUGUUGUUUCCUGGGCGGGUUCGCCCGCCUCCAGGACCACAUGAUAAACCUUUUUUAUGCAGUUGCAAUCAGCGUCAGUACAACAAAUGUAAAUCAUUUACAACUUUUAACAAUGGAUCUCAGA
rnacentral:misc_RNA from 1 species